rnacentral:rRNA from 1 species
CGAAAGCCUGACGGAGCAAUACCGCGUGAGGGAGGACGGCCUAUGGGUUGUAAACCUCUUUUUUCAGGGAGGAAUCAAUGACGUGUACCUGAAGAAUAAGCAUCGGCUAACUCCGUGCCAGCAGCCGCGGUAAGACGGAGGAUACAAGCGUUAUCCGGAAUUAUUGGGCGUAAAGCGUCCGCAGGCGGCCAAUUAAGUCUGCUGCCAAAGCCUAGGGCUCAACCCUAGAUCGGCAGUGGAAACUGGUUGGCUAGAGUACGGUAGGGGUAGAGGGAAUUCCCAGUGUAGCGGUGAAAUGCGUAGAUAUUGGGAAGAACACCAGUGGCGAAGGCGCUCUACUGGGCCGAAACUGACGCUGAGGGACGAAAGCUAGGGGAGCG